AUUGUAUAAAAGGUGUACCGCCUUUGGGAUUUUUAAGAUUUAAAUAAUAAAAAUAACUUUCUUUGGCAUCACUAUAAUUUUAUUUAUUAGCCUUUAAAUAUGGGAUUCGUAAUGUGACAUUGCCAUUAUGAUCAGAAUUUAUGCUGUCUGGAAAAAU